AGCAGCCGCGGUAAUUCCAGUUCCAAUAGCGUAUAUUAAAGUUGCUGCAGUUAAAAAAGCUCGUAGUUGAAUUUCGGGACCAUCAUGUCGGUCGUGCCUCGGUACGUACUGGCAUUGUUGGUUUCUUCCUUCUGACGAACCAUGAUGUCAUUUAUUUGGUGUUGUGGGGAAUCAGGACUGUUACUUUGAAAAAAUUAGAGUGUUUAAAGCAGGCUCACGCUUGAAUACAUUAGCAUGGAAUAAUGAAAUAGGACGUUUGAUUCUAUUUUGUUGGUUUCUAGGAUUGACGUAAUGAUUAAUAGGGAUAGUUGGGGGCAUUAGUAUUCAAUUGUCAGAGGUGAAAUUCUUGGAUUUAUUGAAGACUAACUACUGCGAAAGCAUUUGCCAAGGAUGUUUUCAUUAAUACAAGAACGAAAGUUAGGGGAGUCGAAGACGAUCAGAUACCGUCGUAGUCUUAACCAUAAACUAAUGCCGACUAGGGAUCGGAUGAUGUUAAUUUUUAAUUAGACUCAUUCGGCGU
rnacentral:rRNA from 1 species